rnacentral:rRNA from 1 species
CGGCGGACGGGUGAGUAACGCGUGGAUAACCUGCCCUAAAGUCUGGGAUAACAUCGAGAAAUCGAUGCUAAUACCGGAUACCUUUUAUCUAAGGCAUCUUAGAUAAAAGAAAGGUAACGCUUUAGGAUGGAUCCGCGUCCCAUUAGCUAGUUGGUGAGGUAACGGCUCACCAAGGCGACGAUGGGUAGCCGGCCUGAGAGGGUGACCGGCCACACUGGGACUGAGACACGGCCCAGACUCCUACGGGAGGCAGCAGUAGGGAAUCUUGCGCAAUGGGCGAAAGCCUGACGCAGCGACGCCGCGUGAGUGAAGAAGGCCUUCGGGUUGUAAAACUCUGUCCUCAGGGAAGAAGCAAGUGACGGUACCUGAGGAGGAAGCCCCGGCUAACUACGUGCCAGCAGCCGCGGUAAUACGUAGGGGGCGAGCGUUGUCCGGAAUCAUUGGGCGUA